UACAAUGCCAGAUGAUGCUUACAUGCACCACCUUUCAAUUGUAAAUGAUUUAUCAUUGCUGCAAGAUUGAAAGAAUUGAAACAACCAGGUUAAACUAAGAUUUGGAUGAAAAAAUAUUUGUUGCAACAGUGAUAGCAUGUCAAAUUUAUAACAAACCAAUAAAAACUUUUACAUUUCAUUGAUUGUCAUGUAUUUUAUCGAUUUCUGUGGAUAAUACCCCAUACUAUCUCUCUGUAUUUCACCUUUUCCUAACUGUUAAUUGAUUUGUUACAACAGUGACGUAGUAUCUAGGAGUGGCAAUCGGAUC
rnacentral:lncRNA from 1 species